CUGAGGCAGAGAAUCACUUGAACCCAGGAGGCAGAGGUUGCAGUGAGCCGAGAUCACUCCACUGCACUCCAGCCUGGGCAACAGAGUGAGACAGUCUUAAACAAAUAAAUAAAUAAAUAGUCAACAUGUGAGAGUAGGGAGUAGAGGAAACAAGGCUAUGACUCCAGGUUGUGAAAUUACAGCUAUCUGUUUGGGAAGAAAAGGAAGGCAGUGUUGGUGACUCCAUUCUCAAGCUUAACUUUCCCUUUGGCACGUGAGUUUGAGGUGCCAAAUCCCUGCAGUGGCAGCCCUUUAUUUUGGGGCUCCAGGGAUGUGUCUCCCCUGGCCCUGAAGAGCCCUUUGAGUAAAGGGCUUAUCUCUGUAUUCCUUGAGCCUUCUGAGCAGCAGGAUCCCAUUCAGAGUUUGCCGACUGACUGAAUGAUGUUUUCCCUGGACAUUUGUUUAGAGCCAGAUCUGAAAUGUCUGUGUUGUGGGAGAGUCCCUCCACCUUUCUGGGGGCCAAAGCCCAGAGGAAGCGAAUCCUCCCAAUCCCCACCAUCAUCUGAUUCCAACAGAUGAGUGAGCUGGAGAGCAGAGAGCUUCAUGACGAGUCCAAGUUCAAGGAGCUGGCUGGGGGAGAAUGCCCGGGAGGGCUUUCCUUCUACUGCUGGUGGUGUGCUAUGAACAAGGACACGCAACAGCAGAGAAAUCCCACAGAGCAAACCGACAACACACAUGAGCACAUGAGCAUGCUAGAAAAUGUAGAAGAAGCUGCAUUCCUGGAGAGGAGACGUUUUGAAAUCUCUGCUCUUCUCAGCUAAGUGACCAGGGGUAAAUGACUUCAUCCCAUGGAGUCUUCUGGAAAUAACAAUGCCCAGCUCACCUAGUCAUUUAAAAGACUUCACUUAGUUCAAGCUUGGGCCAUAGUAAGCACUCAGUGAGUGAAGCUAUUAUUAAUGCUGGUUAGUGUUACUAUUGAUAUACAUAUUUUUGUCUCUUCCAAGAAUCCUGCAGUGU